GGGGGGGCAAGCGUUGUUCGGAAUUACUGGGCGUAAAGGGCGUGUAGGCGGUCCUGCAAGUCUUUCGUGAAAUCCCACAGCUCAACUGUGGAACUGCGAGGGAAACUGCAGGACUUGAGUCCGGGAGAGGAGAGUGGAAUUCCCAGUGUAGCGGUGAAAUGCGUAGAUAUUGGGAGGAACACCGGUGGCGAAGGCGGCUCUCUGGACCGGUACUGACGCUGAGGCGCGAAAGCUAGGGGAGCAAACGGGAUUAGAUACCCCGGGUAGUCCUAGCCUUAAACGAUGAGCACUUGGUGUGGCGGGUAUCGACCCCCUGCCGUGCCGAAGCUAACGCAUUAAGUGCUCCGCCUGGGGGAGUACGGUCGCAAGGCUG
rnacentral:rRNA from 1 species